GCCAACAUUCUCCCUGCAGUGAUAGGUCUAAAAAAGUCUAAAAAGAUACAGAUACUGUCUGCCGAACAGUUAUCGCCAGUACAUUCUGUGUUUAUCCGGAAGUUUGUUGAUGUGGGAAGCUAACGUCCCGAUUACAGUGAUAUGACGCGUCAGAGGAUGGAAGCACGGAUCUGCAGCUGCUCUCCGGGCACCGCCCAAUCAGCUCGGCCACCGAGGUGGUCAGUAUCUACAUCCGCAUCCAUCGUUCUUUCUCCAUGUCAUAAUUCACCUGAGUGUAAAUACUGAAUAUAUCCUACAUGCAUAUGUGUCACCUUGUGCAUGGUUUAAUGAGAGGGGUACUUCCUCGGGAAUAGGAUUGACAAAAGAUUCAUUGUCAGGAACUGGGGGAACUGUCAUUGUGUAUCCAUAUAAAGGUUUGUGUGUAACCUGUCACCCUUCACCUGAGACUGACCAGGUAGUAUAUACCAGGUAGUGAGUUGUGCGUGAUAAGGUCUACACGGUAGUCGCUGAGGAAGUGCUGGUAUUCAUGUACACUCAAACACGUUUUCAGAAAAAGGUGAAUUACUCUUCUGGGUCUGAGUAAUGUACGUACUGUUAUUCACCCCGGUAGACACCUACGCCAUCUACAUGUUCCACCAUAUGCUAACACUGCCAUACAUCCCGGUAGGCACCCACACCGUCUAAAUGUUACACUAUAUACUGACACUGUUAUCCACCCCGGUAGACACCCAGAGAAUCUACAUGUUACACCAUAUACUAACACUGUUAUCCACCCCGGUAGACACCCAGAGAAUCUACAUGUUACACCAUAUACUAACACUGUUAUCCACCCCGGUAGACAACCAGAGAAUCUACAUGUUACACCAUAUACUAACACUGUUAUCCACCCCGGUAGACAACCAGAGAAUCUACAUGUUUCACCAUAUACUAACACUGUUAUCCACCCCGGCAGACACCUUAAAAGCCAUGUCGUCCUCCCCUGCAUCGCGCACUCCAAAUCUUGGACUUGAGUCACCGCCCAUGUGCGCUCAUCACCGACGAUAAUGACGUCAAAUGUGUCUGCAUAAUUAACACGAUAAUACACAAUGAAGACAGUUACAGCUGAUGCACUCAACUAGACAUAGUUCUCAUUUCAUAAUACACAAUUCAAAGAUA